AGGUAAGCUACUAAGAGCGAAUGGUGGAUGCCUUGACUGGUAAAGGCGAUGAAGGACGUACUAGACUGCGAUAAGCUACGGGGAGCUGUCAAGAAGCUUUGAUCCGUAGAUUUCCGAAUGGGGCAACCCAAUGUAUAGAGAUAUACAUUACCUAUAUAGGAGCGAACGAGGGGAAUUGAAACAUCUUAGUACCCUCAGGAAAAGAAAUCAAUAGAGAUUGCGUCAGUAGCGGCGAGCGAAAGCGCAAGAGGGCAAACCCAGUGCUUGCACUGGGGGUUGUAGGACUGCAAUGUGCAAGAGGUAAGUUUAGCAGAACAUUCUGGAAAGUAUAACCAUAGAGGGUGAUAGUCCCGUAUGCGAAAAACAAACCUUAGCUAGCAGUAUCCUGAGUAGGGCGGGACACGAGGAAUCCUGUCUGAAUCCGGGUCGACCACGAUCCAACCCUAAAUACUAAUACCAGAUCGAUAGUGCACAAGUACCGUGAGGGAAAGGUGAAAAGAACUGAGGUGAUCAGAGUGAAAUAGAACCUGAAACCAUUUGCUUACAAUCAUUCAGAGCCCUAUGUAGCAAUACAGGGUGAUGGACUGCCUUUUGCAUAAUGAGCCUGCGAGUUGUGGUGUCUGGCAAGGUUAAGCAAACGCGAAGCCGUAGCGAAAGCGAGUCUGAAUAGGGCGCUUAGUCAGAUGCUGCAGACCCGAAACGAAGUGAUCUAUCCAUGAGCAAGUUGAAGCUAGUGUAAGAACUAGUGGAGGACUGAACCCAUAGGCGUUGAAAAGCCCCGGGAUGACUUGUGGAUAGGGGUGAAAGGCCAAUCAAACUUCGUGAUAGCUGGUUCUCUCCGAAAUAUAUUUAGGUAUAGCGUUGUGUCGUAAUAUAAGGGGGUAGAGCACUGAAUGGGCUAGGGCAUACACCAAUGUACCAAACCCUAUCAAACUCCGAAUACCUUAUAUGUAAUCACAGCAGUCAGGCGGCGAGUGAUAAAAUCCGUCGUCAAGAGGGAAACAACCCAGACUACCAGCUAAGGUCCCUAAAUCUUACUUAAGUGGAAAACGAUGUGAAGUUACUUAAACAACCAGGAGGUUGGCUUAGAAGCAGCCAUCCUUUAAAGAAAGCGUAAUAGCUCACUGGUCUAGUGAUUUUGCGCGGAAAAUAUAACGGGGCUAAAGUAAGUACCGAAGCUGUAGACUUAGUUUACUAAGUGGUAGGAGAGCGUUCUAUUUGCGUCGAAGGUAUACCGGUAAGGAGUGCUGGAGCGAAUAGAAGUGAGCAUGCAGGCAUGAGUAGCGAUAAUUAAUGUGAGAAUCAUUAACGCCGUAAACCCAAGGUUUCCUACGCGAUGCUCGUCAUCGUAGGGUUAGUCGGGUCCUAAGUCGAGUCCGAAAGGGGUAGACGAUGGCAAAUUGGUUAAUAUUCCAAUACCAACAUUAGUGUGCGAUGGAAGGACGCUUAGGGCUAAGGGGGCUAGCGGAUGGAAGUGCUAGUCUAAGGUCGUAGGAGGUUAUACAGGCAAAUCCGUAUAACAAUACUCCGAGAACUGAAAGGCUUUUUGAAGUCUUCGGAUGGAUAGAAGAACCCCUGAUGCCGUCGAGCCAAGAAAAGUUUCUAAGUUUAGCUAAUGUUGCCCGUACCGUAAACCGACACAGGUGGGUGGGAUGAGUAUUCUAAGGCGCGUGGAAGAACUCUCUUUAAGGAACUCUGCAAAAUAGCACCGUAUCUUCGGUAUAAGGUGUGGUUAGCUUUGUAUUAGGAUUUACUCCGAAAGCAAGGAAACUUACAACAAAGAGUCCCUCCCGACUGUUUACCAAAAACACAGCACUCUGCUAACUCGUAAGAGGAUGUAUAGGGUGUGACGCCUGCCCGGUGCUCGAAGGUUAAUUGAUGGGGUUAGCAUUAGCGAAGCUCUUGAUCGAAGCCCGAGUAAACGGCGGCCGUAACUAUAACGGUCCUAAGGUAGCGAAAUUCCUUGUCGGUUAAAUACCGACCUGCAUGAAUGGCGUAACGAGAUGGGAGCUGUCUCAAAGAGGGAUCCAGUGAAAUUGUAGUGGAGGUGAAAAUUCCUCCUACCCGCGGCAAGACGGAAAGACCCCGUGGACCUUUACUACAGCUUGACACUGCUACUUGGAUAAGAAUGUGCAGGAUAGGUGGGAGGCUUUGAGUAUA
rnacentral:rRNA from 1 species